CAUGGUCUGCAUAUUAAUUUAUUGAAUGCGGAAGAACACAGACAUAACACAGGGAACUCAUUUUUGUGUUAAAGGAAGCACAAUGUUCCAGUACUCGGGGAAGUAUCAAUGCUGUUUAAAUCCCUACGUAAUCUGAUCCAGGUAGGAGUUCAUCCUGCUACUGACGCGUGGGACCUCACAUGUGAACCAGUGCCAGAAUGGGAAUGCAUGGUCGAUGUUCUGCAGCAGGCCAUAUAAAUAUCCCUAGGUGGAACGAAGAAAUUAUGGCUGGUCAGGGCAUGAUCUCCCAACAUCUCCUGUCCAUCACUGCAUUGGCACUGCAGAGUCGACAGGAAUUCCAGUGCGUAGCCCACCAGUUCCAGACUGCUGAGAAUGACUGCAAGGUGUACUUCACCAUAUUGGAGGGAUUUGCUGAAAGUGGACAUUGAAGGGACCAAAAUCCUGGCCCCCUGUCUGACAGAGGCAGCCAACCAAAUUGUACAGAUUGUUAGUAAUCAAAAGGGGGGAUUUGGUAAAUUUUGCCAAACAGGGGCACUUUGCAUUGUGUAGGCAAAAAGGGCAGGUGCUCAGGCAGCCCCCCCCCCCCCCGCCAUGUAGAUCAUGUCAUUAAAAUUAUUAAUGUAGGUGGGGUUUCAUGUAAUUGUUUCCCAGGUGCACCUGUUCUGGAUAUAAAUACACUGCUUCCAUCACUAAUGGAGAUCUGGCCGGUGGAUUUAUUACACAACUAAUGACGCUGUGUUGUACUGUCUUAAAGAAUGAUGUCAAAAUGUGAAUGAGCACAGCAAAUUAGCUGAAUGUUUUGAGUGCCAUGUAUCAGCUUACCGGUGAUGAUUUUUAGUUGCCUUUUUGUAUUGACGGUAUUGAUGAAGAACUGGUGUCUUCCAGGCAGUGUUCCUUUUAUUGGCAACGUCAACACAUUCUGGCUAAGUUCUGUGUUUCUGGUGUCCACACUGUCAGAGCUCUCUUUGUGUUAGGUGAAAAUAUUACGACCUGUAUUUGACUUGAAAAUGAUAAUUCAUCCAAAAUAGACUGUUACCCUUGUGUUUCAAUGGUAAUGAUCUAUUGUGAGACAACCAAUACUGUAUACUCACUGUAUUUAUAGAGGAAAACACAGGGAGGAAACUAUCAAAUUUGAAUAAUAUCACUGUCAAUAAGUCCAGUCUGGUAAAAGAAUAAAACAAUAAACAAUCUUAAAAAUC